rnacentral:rRNA from 1 species
AUCAUCAAAGCUUGCUUUGAUGGAUGGCGACCGGCGCACGGGUGAGUAACACGUAUCCAACCUGCCGACAACUCUGGGAUAGCCUUUCGAAAGAAAGAUUAAUACCCGAUGGCAUAGUUCUUCCGCAUGGUCGAACUAUUAAAGAAUUUCGGUCAUCGAUGGGGAUGCGUUCCAUUAGGUUGUUGGUGAGGUAACGGCUCACCAAACCUUCGAUGGAUAGGGGUUCUGAGAGGAUGAACGGCCACAUUGGGACUGAGACACGGCCCAAACUCC